rnacentral:rRNA from 1 species
UACGUAGGGUGCGAGCGUUAAUCGGAAUUACUGGGCGUAAAGCGUGCGCAGGCGGUUUUGUAAGCCAGAUGUGAAAUCUCCGGGCUUAACUCGGAAAGGUCAACUGAUACUGUGCGACUAGAGUGCGGAAGGGGCAACUGGAAUUCUCGGUGUAGCGGUGAAAUGCGCAGAUAUUGGGAAGAACACCAGUGGCGAAGGCGGUUCUCUGGGACGGUACUGACGCUGAGACGCGAAAGCGUGGGGAGCGAACAGG